GGAGGGUGCAAGCGUUAAUCGGAAUUACUGGGCGUAAAGCGCACGCAGGCGGUUGGAUAAGUUAGAUGUGAAAGCCCCGGGCUCAACCUGGGAAUUGCAUUUAAAACUGUCCAGCUAGAGUCUUGUAGAGGGGGGUAGAAUUCCAGGUGUAGCGGUGAAAUGCGUAGAGAUCUGGAGGAAUACCGGUGACGAAGGCGGCCCCCUGGACAAAGACUGACGCUCAGGUGCGAAAGCGUGGGGAGCAAACAGGAUUAGAUACCCUGGUAGUCCACGCCGUAAACGAUGUCGAUUUGGAGGCUGUGUCCUUGAGACGUGGCUUCCGGAGCUAACGCGUUAAAUCGACCGCCUGGGGAGUACGGCCGCAAGGUUA
rnacentral:rRNA from 1 species